CACCAUCUGGUGUUAUAUCUCAUAACCUAAUAGACAAACUGCCAUGAAAUGUAUUGAGCAUGUUUAUGCCCCAAUUAGGAAGAACAAGUCCCCUAAGGUACAGGGCCGAGCUUUGCACCAAUUUCGGCCUGUUAGAAUUGAAGUCCUUUAUUAUUAUUGCGGAAUACUCCGAGAAAGCCUGAUACAUUUUCUUGUUAAUGGCUUCCAGUGAGCAACUUACAUUGUAAUGAAUGAGCCUCCCUCUUUGAGCACAGUAUUUUCUCUUAAUACUUUCCUCUAGCACCAACCAAGGACAAACUUUACAUUAACAGACCCACAACUCGUAAAGGUGUGAAGCUGUUGCUGUGUCUCUUCUCCACAGUCACUCUGCUGCUGACAGUAUAGAGAUCAUCAGGACCUCUGACUGUCUCUGUAAGUCCAGCAGAGAGGAGGUUUCCCUCACUGUCCAGCCACAACACCUCAGGUUCUGGAUACCAGCCUUCAGACUCACACUGUAGAAUAACUCCACUAGAGGAUAUGUUAAUACUCACUAUGAAAGGGUGCUGAGAGAAGGAGGACAAACACCACCAGUAAAAUAACUAUGUGAAUAUUUAAGACAUGGUCCAUCUUUCAGAUGAGCAUUGUCACUGGCAGUGAGGAAGUUGGUUGCAGCCCCUUUUCUACACUGGCAGGGAACUCAAGAGAGCACUUUAACACAUUUUCUUGCACAUUUGGCCUACAAUAGGGGCAUGAAAGAGGGACUUUGCAGCAUUUAAGCUGGAGGAAGGAGGGAUUGUAGUAUCUGUUUGAAUAAAAUAAAACCACCAAAACAAAAUGAGGAAGCAGUAUAAUGGCCAUUGGCAUUUAUGCUACAUUUAAGUAAUCCCACCAAUAGCAGCAGAGCAACGAAAACAGAGACACCAAAGCAGAGCAGCAGCGGAGCUGAGAGCCAUGAUGAGGGGAAGGUUGAGGGGUAGAAUCAGCUGCUGAGAGAUAAUGCCAGCCAGCUCUCUGGUGAUUCUCCAGCUCCAGAGAUUCUGCACUUGGAGAGUCCUUCGAAAGACUUGGAAACAUAUGGAUGGUCAUGAUUCCUGUAGAACUCUUCUCCAUGAGGAAGGACAGGACUCUCCAGGAUCACAGAGCCAGCUAAACAACAUAUGUUUGAAAAAAGAUGCUAAUUACACUGUUUGAAAGCCUAUGCAUGGAACAAAAGACGGCCAUAUUCUCCACUGUUAGACGCUGGAAAGGCAUUAUUAAUUGUGCAGGGUCCUGUCGUUGUCAACCAGGUAGAAGAACAUUUUAAUAACUCCUUUAAUCUUCCUCAUCACUCUCCAUCCAGUCAGUCCCUCCAGUCCCUCACAGCUGACAACUAUGGACUCAUAUUCAAAGUGCUGCUGUCUGUUUGGAACAACCCCGGGAAAAGAUGCAUCUAAGUCAGAGAGACUCAAAGAAUGAGAUUAUUAAAGCAAACGUCUUUUAUUCUGACAAAAUCAUUUGGAUUUCAAAAGUUGACGUGUUUUAAAAA